rnacentral:RNase_P_RNA from 2 species
CAGGCUGGUUGGGCAAUCGCGGUUCUGCGUUGACGGAAUCGAGGAAAGUCCGCACUCCUAUAGAGCACGACGUCGGAUAGCUUCCGGGGCGGAAAGUGCCGCAAGGUAUCAAUCUGCCGGAAAAGGGCCACAGAAACAAGUCGCUCUCGCAAGAGAGUCAGAGUGAAAAGGUGGUGUAAGAGACCACCGGCGCGUACAGUAAUGUGUGCGGCCAGGUAACCCCCGUCGGGAGCAAGGCCAAGCAGGAGCAAGUUCGUCUGUGGACGAUGGGAGGCUGCUCGUCUCCAUACGCACCAUUUCCAAGCGUGGGAAUGGUCAGCUCCGGGUAGGCUGCAUUGAGCAAGGUGGCGACACCUCGCCCAGAGAGAUGGUUGCACAAGUGAUGAAAGUCACUGGACAGAAUGCGGCUUAUAGACCAGCCUGAGUA